rnacentral:rRNA from 1 species
CCUACGGGUGGCAGCAGUGAGGGAUAUUGGUCAAUGGGCGGGAGCCUGAACCAGCCAAGUCGCGUGAGGGAAGACGGUCCUAUGGAUUGUAAACCUCUUUAGGCGGGGAGCAAUGCCGGGCACGUGUGCCCGGAGGGAGAGUACCCGCAGAAUAAGCAUCGGCUAACUCCGUGCCAGCAGCCGCGGUAAUACGUAGGUGGCAAGCGUUGUCCGGAUUUACUGGGUGUAAAGGGCGUGUAGCCGGGCUGACAAGUCAGAUGUGAAAUUCCGGGGCUCAACCCCGGACCUGCAUUUGAAACUGUUGGUCUUGAGUAUCGGAGAGGCAGGCGGAAUUCCUAGUGUAGCGGUGAAAUGCGUAGAUAGUAGGAGGAACACCAGUGGCGAAGGCGGCCUGCUGGACGACAACUGACGGUGAGGCGCGAAAGCGUGGGGAGCAAACAGGAUUAGAUACCCCUGUAGUC